GGUUAAGCGACUAAGCGUACACGGUGGAUGCCCUGGCAGUCAGAGGCGAUGAAGGACGUGCUAAUCUGCGAUAAGCGUCGGUGAGGUGAUAUGAACCGUUAUAACCGGCGAUUUCCGAAUGGGGAAACCCAGUGUGUUUCGACACACUAUCAUUAACUGAAUCCAUAGGUUAAUGAGGCGAACCGGGGGAACUGAAACAUCUAAGUACCCCGAGGAAAAGAAAUCAACCGAGAUUCCCCCAGUAGCGGCGAGCGAACGGGGAGGAGCCCAGAGCCUGAAUCAGUGUGUGUGUUAGUGGAAGCGUCUGGAAAGGCGCGCGAUACAGGGUGACAGCCCCGUACACAAAAAUGCACAUAUUGUGAGCUCGAUGAGUAGGGCGGGACACGUGGUAUCCUGUCUGAAUAUGGGGGGACCAUCCUCCAAGGCUAAAUACUCCUGACUGACCGAUAGUGAACCAGUACCGUGAGGGAAAGGCGAAAAGAACCCCGGCGAGGGGAGUGAAAAAGAACCUGAAACCGUGUACGUACAAGCAGUGGGAGCCUCUUAAUGGGGUGACUGCGUACCUUUUGUAUAAUGGGUCAGCGACUUAUAUUCUGUAGCAAGGUUAACCGAAUAGGGGAGCCGAAGGGAAACCGAGUCUUAACUGGGCGUUAAGUUGCAGGGUAUAGACCCGAAACCCGGUGAUCUAGCCAUGGGCAGGUUGAAGGUUGGGUAACACUAACUGGAGGACCGAACCGACUAAUGUUGAAAAAUUAGCGGAUGACUUGUGGCUGGGGGUGAAAGGCCAAUCAAACCGGGAGAUAGCUGGUUCUCCCCGAAAGCUAUUUAGGUAGCGCCUCGUGAAUUCAUCUCCGGGGGUAGAGCACUGUUUCGGCAAGGGGGUCAUCCCGACUUACCAACCCGAUGCAAACUGCGAAUACCGGAGAAUGUUAUCACGGGAGACACACGGCGGGUGCUAACGUCCGUCGUGAAGAGGGAAACAACCCAGACCGCCAGCUAAGGUCCCAAAGUCAUGGUUAAGUGGGAAACGAUGUGGGAAGGCCCAGACAGCCAGGAUGUUGGCUUAGAAGCAGCCAUCAUUUAAAGAAAGCGUAAUAGCUCACUGGUCGAGUCGGCCUGCGCGGAAGAUGUAACGGGGCUAAACCAUGCACCGAAGCUGCGGCAGCGACACUAUGUGUUGUUGGGUAGGGGAGCGUUCUGUAAGCCUGUGAAGGUGGCCUGUGAGG
rnacentral:rRNA from 1 species